rnacentral:rRNA from 1 species
UACGUAGGGGGCAAGCGUUAUCCGGAAUCACUGGGCGUAAAGGGUGCGUAGGCGGCCAAUAAAGUCAGAGGUGAAAGGCUACGGCUCAACCGUAGUAAGCCUUUGAAACUUAUUGGCUUGAGUGCAGGAGAGGAGAGUGGAAUUCCUAGUGUAGCGGUGAAAUGCGUAGAUAUUAGGAGGAACACCAGUGGCGAAGGCGACUCUCUGGACUGUAACUGACGCUGAGGCACGAAAGCGUGGGGAGC